UACGGCGAAGUUGCUGUCCCUUUACAAUGGUCACAGCUUAGGAAAAGGCAACGCCUUCUUGUUGCACUCCCGCCAAAUCUUCCUCUGCCACCGCUGCUGCUACUGCAUCUGAAGUUUUGACCCACCACAGGAUCCGAUCAUAAAGAGAGCAGCUACCAUGUCGUCCCUGAUCUGCCCUGUUAAGUCCCUCAAUGUCAAUGAUCCUCCUCCACCUAACCCCACUUCUGCUAAAAAAAGCAGUUAACCCUGGGAAGGGAGUCCAAACUUCAACACUGGGAGUUGUGUGGCAACUGUCAGGGCAGCUGGAGCAACUCCUGAGGUUAAUUGCAGCUAUGUUUAUCUUGAAUUGCGGCUUAUAAUUUGGUAAAUUGCAUUUACCAUCUCGAGGUAUCUUCAAAUUUCACAAACACGUUUCUGUUUUGAAAAAUACACAGAAAGCACAAAAUAACUUUUGAUUACCUGUUUUGUUGGUUUAUAGGUAGUAGGUUAAUGUUAAAUAGCAGUAAUAGCUUACUGGUGGAUUUCUGUUUACUUCAUAUUUUUCAAGAUAGAUGCCAUUUUAGUGAAAUUUGAAGAUACCUGUCGCUGGUAUUUGUAAUUUGCCCAUUGUGAUUUAGAAAUUUAUCAACGGAAGAAAUGAAGUGAUUACUCUA